rnacentral:rRNA from 1 species
GACGAACGCUGGCGGCGUGCUUAACACAUGCAAGUCGAACGGAAAGGCCCUGCUUUUGUGGGGUGCUCGAGUGGCGAACGGGUGAGUAACACGUGAGUAACCUGCCCUUGACUUUGGGAUAACUUCAGGAAACUGGGGCUAAUACCGGAUAGGAGCUCCUGCUGCAUGGUGGGGGUUGGAAAGUUUCGGCGGUUGGGGAUGGACUCGCGGCUUAUCAGCUUGUUGGUGGGGUAGUGGUUUACCAAGGCUUUGACGGGUAGCCGGCCUGAGAGGGUGACCGGCCACAUUGGGACUGAGAGACGGCCCAGACUCCUACGGGAGGCAGCAGUGGGGAAUAUGGCACAAUGGGCGGAAGCCUGAUGCAGCAACGCCGCGUGCGGGAUGACGGCCUUCGGGUUGUAAACCGCUUUCGCCUGUGACGAAGCGUGAGUGACGGUAAUGGGUAAAGAAGCACCGGCUAACUACGUG